AAAGAAGUACCCAAAAGAAAAAAAUAAAUAAAUAACAAUUGAGAUUAAACGUGACCAUCUGAUUGAUCAGAUGACUCUGAUUCAAUUUAAGAUGACAUGCGCUUAGCUAUUUGAUCAAAGAUCAAUGGCUCAUAAUGGUGGGUUACUACGGGAGAACGCACAUGGGAUCACACUGAAGAUUCAAUCUCAGCACUCAAGUGAGACCACGUAGCCUCAUCUGGUGAACCAAGAAGGAUGCUACUUAAACUUUCUCUCACAUUGAUAUAAUUUAUUUAUGAACUCUC
rnacentral:lncRNA from 1 species